CAGUCAUGAUGGUUCAGGAGCUGCCAGUAUGCCAGGUGUAGAUAAUAAAGGCAAUUUUGUGUGUUAUUGAGUGGUGAUCUGUGGCAAUUAGAUCACUAUGUUAACUACAAAGCCAAACAGAAAUUGAAAGCAGUAAUAGAAAGAAGUCACUUAAAAAUACUGAACAAGUAAAGUCAGAAUCAAGCAGUCAAAUGAACAGUAAGUGCUGUGGUAUCGGGUAGCUGUAGCCAUCUCCUGGUUACCACAGGGUGAAACCCAGAGCGACUUCUGAAUUCCACCCGCCAGAAACCAUUCCUCCCCACUCAGCCUUUUGUCCCUGUCGAGGCUGAUCUGAAGGAGCUCUUGCAGAGAUCACAGGGCGGGGUGCCCUGCACAACCAGGACGGGUUUGGAUGCUCCGGGGACCUCGGGAGGGAUCCAGCACCAUGGAGAGCGCCGGGCGCCCUCCGGCCCUCGGAGCCGGGUGGUGACAAGGAGGGGACUGAGAAACAUCAGGGGGCAAUUUCCAUCUCGACGCUGAUGGUUUGUACGAGGAGCCGUCAAACAGAAGGUCAAAGCAUGACGUUUGGCCUCCUGUGCUAUAUUUUAAUCCGAGGAAAGGACUGAGCUAUUUUCCUGACACUAACGGAAUCGAAAGCACGUUUCUGUGUUCAUCAUGCUCUUCACAUCGCGUUAGACUGAAGGCAAGCGAAGCAGUAAUAGAUUUUUGUGUCCUCGUUACACUAAGUGACAAAUUCGUCUGGCAGCUGAGGGCAAGGGUUGCAGCUACUGGUUACUAGAUCUUGGAUUAAAUUAAGAAGCUGAAAGAGACGAGGUAUAAAGGGGAGGAAGCGACACACUAUGUUCAAAAAGAUCCAUUCUAUAUUUCACCCCAGCUUCCACCGAAGAAAUGUGACAGAUGACAUCCCUUACUGUGAUGGCACAGGUUCUGCUGUCAGAUUGAUCCGCAGCAGUUCUAUGUAUGUCCUUGGAGGUGAGCAGGAAAAAGUUGGUGAAUCACUAAAAAAAUGCAAAAGUACAUCCAGCAUCGACUCUUGCUUCCAGUCAAAAGAGGAAGACAGGGACUGGAUGUAUUCUAAGACUCAGGACUGCUUGAAGUACUUGCAGGAUCUGUUAGCCUUGAGGAAAAAAUAUCUUGACAACAUCAAUAACUUGAAAUCCAUGCAUAGGACUGCAGAUUCCCCAACAUCCACAAAAUCAUCCAAAACUGGAAAGAAGUCAUUUCUUCUACUUCCUUCCAAAGAGUCUUCUAAGGCAUCUAUGGAGAGAAGAAUAGUCCCACAGCACAGUUCAGAUAUAAGAGAAGCAAUAGCAUUCUUUGACUCAGUUAUUGCAGAUCUGGAUUCAGAGAGAUGGCGGAGAGUUCCUGACAUGGAUUUGCCAAACGUGGAUGUUGAUUUCGAUGUUGCUAAGAGCACACGUGAACACAGUUUACAUUCAAACUGGAUCCUUCGUGCUCCCCGCAGGUACUCUCAAGAUACUGCCCAAACAGCCAAGGCUGCAAACCAGUCUCAGAGAAACAGCCAACGGAGAACCACUGGCUCUAGGAAGAGGUUGGAAAGACAUCCCAUGUACUUGCCCAAAGCGGUGGAAGGAGCAUAUAACACGUUAAAAUUUAAGCCCAAAACACAUAAGAGAGAAUAUUGA
rnacentral:lncRNA from 1 species